GUCAUCGCACUGGCUCCAGGGUUUCUGGGUCAAGCGUUCUGAGAAGCGCGGUCCGUUAACUUUGGCGGACUAAAUGUUCCAGGGGCUGUUGGGACGACCCUACUGGUCGUCUUUAAUGUCUCCUUGUUCGGUUAGCCGAUGGAGAGAAAGUUUCAAGUUUCUUUUAACGUCAGGUCGGAUGAGCAGACAAGAGCUACAACUCAUGCUUCAUGUUUGUGGGGAUCCUAAAAGUAGAGGCCUACUUCAUGCUGGCUUUUACUGCCCUGGGCAAGUGCUUAUCCAGGCAUCACAAGAACAUAGUGACCAUCACCAUCGGUGAGUCUAUAAACAAGAUGGGUUCAUCUCUUAUUUCACUCAGGUGAAGCUUGCAGUGGUUUUUUUCCGCCAAGCAGUGCUGAUGAAUGUUGGCUAGAAUCAGACUGAAAUAGGUUCUGUAGGAAGUUAUGCAGCAGCUCAGCUCUUUUCCUGCCGCUCAGUUACUUUUUAAUUUCAGGUUUACUCAGAGGAAAAACAGUGUGAAGAAUGCUCUGCCAAUUUGUUUAGGUGUAAAAAUCGUGAAGAGGAAAAGCCUGCAGUAGCGGGGGGUAGGGAAGUUGCAGAUAAAAGCCUUUUCACAUGGUGAAGUCACUACGUGACCAUAGAGUGUGUUUUUAAGUUCCGGGUGGCUCAGGUCAUUGUAGCAUGAAAAGCUUUUUUUUUUUUCUUUUUCUUUUAAUGGAGUUAGAGUCCCAUUAAAACCUUUUUGAUUCAGGUUUAUUUAGUAUUUAAAAAUUCAGCUAUACUUGCUAUAGCUUUUUAUAACCAUGAUUAUAAGGGGCUUGUCUUUGGCAGGCAAAUAAUUUCUGAACCAAAAUGUCUCAGCAGAUUGUAACCGUUAUAUUAGCAGGCCUGCAGGAGGCACAGUGGUGUCUUCUCAUAGGAUCUGGGUCUGAAUCCUUGUUCCUGGUAUGAAACCCUUGAUAAAGCUGCUUACCACCUUGUAAAAGUGUCAGAUAAAUGAAUGAAUAAGUAAAAAUUAUAUUAGAUGCUGUCACAUGUACAUCUUUCAGACUCAUAGGACCCA
rnacentral:lncRNA from 1 species